rnacentral:rRNA from 1 species
GUGGUGCACGGUUGUCGUCAGCUCGUGCCGUGAGGUGUUGGGUUAAGUCCCGCAACGAGCGCAACCCCUAUGUUUAGUUGCCAGCACGUUAAGGUGGGGACUCUAACAAGACUGCCAGUGCAAACUGUGAGGAAGGUGGGGACGACGU